rnacentral:rRNA from 1 species
GACGAACGCUGGCGGCGUGCUUAACACAUGCAAGUCGAACGAGUGGCGAACGGGAGAGGAAUGUAUGGGGAUCUGCCUGAUGGCGGGGGAUAACUACUGGAAACGGUAGCUAAUAACGCAUACCAUCCGAUGAACCCAUAGGGGAUUAGCUAGUAGGUGAGUGAACGGCGUACCUAGGCGACGGGCCCUACCUGGUCUGAGAGGAUGAGCAUCCCCAAGGGGACUGAGACACGGCCCAGAUCCCUACGGUAGUCAUCAGUGGGGAAUAUUGCACAAUGGGCGGAAGCCUUAUGCAGCCAUGCCGCGUGUAUGAAGAAGUCCUUCGGUUUGUAAAGUACUUUCAGGCGGGAGGCGUUACCGACAGAAGAAGCACCGGCUAACUCCGUGCCAGCGGCCGCGGUAAUAC